rnacentral:rRNA from 1 species
UGGGGAAUAUUGCACAAUGGGCGAAAGCCUGAUGCAGCGACGCCGCGUGAGGGAUGACGGCCUUCGGGUUGUAAACCUCUUUCAGCAGGGAAGAAGCGAAAGUGACGGUACCUGCAGAAGAAGCGCCGGCUAACUACGUGCCAGCAGCCGCGGUAAUACGUAGGGCGCAAGCGUUGUCCGGAAUUAUUGGGCGUAAAGAGCUCGUAGGCGGUUAGUCGCGUCUGCUGUGAAAACUCGAGGCUCAACCUCGGGCUUGCAGUGGGUACGGGCUGACUAGAGUGCGGUAGGGGUGACUGGAAUUCCUGGUGUAGCGGUGGAAUGCGCAGAUAUCAGGAGGAACACCGAUGGCGAAGGCAGGUCACUGGGCCGCAACUGACGCUGAGGAGCGAAAGCAUGGGGAGCGAACAGGAUUAGAUACCCUGGUAGUCCAUGCCGUAAACGUUGGGCACUAGGUGUGGGUCCAUUCCACGGAUUCCGUGCCGCAGCAAACGCAUUAAGUGCCCCGCCUGGGGAGUACGGCCGCAAGGCUAAAACUUAAAGGAAUUGAC